rnacentral:sRNA from 12 species
AAUGAUACUUCCCUGAACCUGUCUGGCAAAGGGCCUGCGAUGAAGGAAACGCAGGGGAACGCUCGCCGCGUUUGAAAAAGAAUGCGGCCGGGUUUC